AUUGAACGCUGGCGGCAUGCUUUACACAUGCAAGUCGAACGGUAACAGGCCGCAAGGUGCUGACGAGUGGCGAACGGGUGAGUAAUGCAUCGGAACGUGCCCAGUCGUGGGGGAUAACGCAGCGAAAGCUGCGCUAAUACCGCAUACGAUCUCUGGAUGAAAGCGGGGGACCGAAAGGCCUCGCGCGAUUGGAGCGGCCGAUGUCAGAUUAGGUAGUUGGUGGGGUAAAGGCCCACCAAGCCAACGAUCUGUAGCUGGUCUGAGAGGCCGACCAGCCACACUGGGACUGAGACACGGCGCAGGCUCCUACGGGAGGCAGCAGUGGGGAAUUUUGGACAAUGGGCGCAAGCCUGGUCCAGCAAUGCCGCGUGCAGGAAGAAGGCCUUCGGGUUGUAAACUGCUUUUGUACGGAACGAAACGGUCCGGGUUAAUACCCUGGGCUAAUGACGGUACCGUAAGAAUAAGCACCGGCUAACUACGUGCCAGCCGCCGCGGUAAUAC
rnacentral:rRNA from 1 species